AGUGAACGCUGGCGGUAGGCCUAACACAUGCAAGUCGAACGGCAGCACAGUAAGAGCUUGCUCUUACGGGUGGCGAGUGGCGGACGGGUGAGGAAUACAUCGGAAUCUACUUUUUCGUGGGGGAUAACGUAGGGAAACUUACGCUAAUACCGCAUACGACCUACGGGUGAAAGCAGGGGAUCUUCGGACCUUGCGCGAUUGAAUGAGCCGAUGUCGGAUUAGCUAGUUGGCGGGGUAAAGGCCCACCAAGGCGACGAUCCGUAGCUGGUCUGAGAGGAUGAUCAGCCACACUGGAACUGAGACACGGUCCAGACUCCUACGGGAGGCAGCAGUGGGGAAUAUUGGACAAUGGGCGCAAGCCUGAUCCAGCCAUACCGCGUGGGUGAAGAUGGCCUUCGGGUUGUAAAGCCCUUUUGUUGGGAAAGAAAAGCAGCAGGUUAAUACCCCGCUGUUCUGACGGUACCCAAAGAAUAAGCACCGGCUAACUUCGUGC
rnacentral:rRNA from 1 species